GACGAACGCUGGCGGCGUGCUUAACACAUGCAAGUCGAACGGUGAAGCGCCUUCCUUUUUGGUGGGUGUGGAUGGGUGGCGAACGGGUGAGUAACACGUGAGUAACCUGCCCCCUUCUUCUGGAUAACCGCAUGAAAGUGUGGCUAAUACGGGAUAUUCUGGGUCUGUCGCAUGAUGGGUCUGGGAAAGAUAUUGUUUCGGUGGGGGAUGGGCUCGCGGCCUAUCAGCUUGUUGGUGGGGUGAUGGCCUACCAAGGCGGUGACGGGUAGCCGGCCUGAGAGGGUGGACGGUCACACUGGGACUGAGACACGGCCCAGACUCCUACGGGAGGCAGCAGUGGGGAAUAUUGCACAAUGGGCGCAAGCCUGAUGCAGCGACGCCGCGUGAGGGAUGGAGGCCUUCGGGUUGUGAACCUCUUUCGCCAGUGAAGCAGGCCUGCCUCGUUUGUGGGUGGGUUGACGGUAGCUGGAUAAGAAGCGCCGGCUAACUACGUG
rnacentral:rRNA from 1 species